AGAGUUUGAUCCUGGCUCAGGACGAACGCUGGCGGCGUGCCUAACACAUGCAAGUCGAACGGGGUUGAGUGCUUCGGUAUUCAACCUAGUGGCGAACGGGUGAGUAACGCGUGAAGAACCUGCCUUUCAGUGGGGGACAACAGUUGGAAACGACUGCUAAUACCGCAUGACGCUUCUUGGGGGCAUCCCCGAGAAGUCAAAGCUUUAUGUGCUGAAAGAUGGCUUCGCGUCUGAUUAGCUAGAUGGCGGGGUAACGGCCCACCAUGGCGACGAUCAGUAGCCGGUCUGAGAGGAUGAACGGCCACAUUGGGACUGAGAUACGGCCCAGACUCCUACGGGAGGCAGCAGUGGGGAAUAUUGGGCAAUGGGGGAAACCCUGACCCAGCAACGCCGCGUGAAGGAAGAAGGCCUUCGGGUUGUAAACUUCUUUUACCAGGGACGAAGGACGUGACGGUACCUGGAGAAAAAGCAACGGCUAACUACGUGCCAGCAGCCGCGGUAAUACGUAGGUUGCAAGCGUUGUCCGGAUUUACUGGGUGUAAAGGGCGUGUAGGCGGAGAUGCAAGUCGGGAGUGAAAUCCAUGGGCUCAACCCAUGAACUGCUUUCGAAACUGUAUCCCUUGAGUAUCGGAGAGGCAAGCGGAAUUCCUAGUGUAGCGGUGAAAUGCGUAGAUAUUAGGAGGAACACCAGUGGCGAAGGCGGCUUGCUGGACGACAACUGACGCUGAGGCGCGAAAGCGUGGGGAGCAAACAGGAUUAGAUACCCUGGUAGUCCACGCUGUAAACGAUGAAUACUAGGUG
rnacentral:rRNA from 1 species